AGUUGUGUAGAUGUUGUGGCUGAAGGAGUGACAGAACCUUGCACAGAGCAGUGUUGGCAGAGACUAGGGGAGUGAGAAGGAGGUCUGGGACUCAACCAGGACAAGGCCCUGAGUGAAUGAAAGUAGCUUCUGAAGCAUCAAGAUGGAAGUCCUCUAGGAUAAAGCACCUGCUUGCCAAUCUCCCAUGAACUCUCUUAACCCAGAGUCUGCAAAACACCCAUACCGUUUCUGUUGCUAGAGAAUCUGGGUCUCACAGGUGUCUACACUGCAUUGCCCAGACCUGAGUCAAACCAGCCUAUACCAGGGUUUGUAGCACCCUCCCCAGCUGUAGCUGCCCUAGUUCUGUGUGGUGCAGUGUGGGAAAACUUGACUGUCUGCCCCGCACGCUUCAGAAAGUUGUCUCAGCCAACCAACGCAUUCUGCUAAGCCAUCUUUUGGGUCUGGAUGCUCCUGGCAACCAGCGACAACAACAUGGAGGAGUCACAAUAUGACGAACUUGUCUUGCUUAGGCUUUCACUCCUGUCUUAAGAAAUGGGCAGAGCAUCCAUGAGACACUGGACAUUUUGGCAGCAUUUUCUGUCCUACCGAAGUCCUGGAGGAAGAGGAGGACAAUGAUACAGACAUAGACCCGCAUUAGCUCAUGCAUCUCACAACUCUCUGUAUAUCCACUGAUGCCACCUAUGUAGACUGGCACUUUGGGAGCAGGGCCACAAGCAUGGACUUGCGGAAUCACAUUGUCAUGAGGAGCUGGGAUGACCAGCAAUGAGUCCAGAAUUUUCACAUGAAGAAAGCUACAUUUCUGUUCUGGAGCAAAGUGAGCGGCUUUCCCUGACCCUCCAGGAUCAUGACACACCCAUGAGGGUGGCAGAAGCAGGUUGCUGCAACCAUCUGGAAGCUGGCUACUCCAGACUGCUACAGGCAUUCCAUAUUCUGGAGUCCUGAGGUUGAUGAGUGGAAAAGGAACAUUUUAUUCCAAGAUGCCAGUGCCAAGCCAGCCAUGUGUGUCAGAGGUUUUCAAGCUUUUGGUGUCUGAGCAGCACAUGUGAUCUAUAGAGUUGAGCCUGGAAAAAAGGCCUUCUCUGAAAUGCGACUACCUGUCUUGAGUUCCUACCCCAGGAAAAAUUUUCGGCUAUUAGCACCCGGGAUUGGGUCAAAAUUCACAGGAUACUGCUUUAGUGACCACAUGGAUUACUUACCCCCUGCAUUUUUUGAUAUCAGCUUCUCUAACUAGAGCUGAUUACAUCUACUACUGGACUUCAUGCAAACACAUGCAGUAAUACAGACUCUCAAAGAACUACAUAGCCAACCCCCUCCACCCUGGCACAUUUCUGGACUGUAUGCAAACCCACGGCUGUAAUUUGGACACUGAUUUUGUUACCCAUGGACUAUAUUUCACUCUCCCACUGUACAGUUUACCAUGUACAGGGUGCUUGUUAUGCUGUGGCUUGGCCGAUUUGUCCAGAGUGGUGUACUAAAAGGGAAGGCAGUGUGAGGGUGUCACUUCUUACACAGGCAUGCUGGGGUAUUAAA